rnacentral:rRNA from 1 species
CAUACUAUGGAUGGCUUGGCUCGGAAUGCCGAUGAAGGACAUGGCAAGCUGUGAAAAGCUCUGGCGAGGCGCAUGCAGCCCUAGAACCAGAGAUGUCCGAAUAAUCCCCUUCGGGGGAGGGUAAACGCAGGGAAUUGAAACAUCUUAGUACCUGCAGGAAGAGAAAGCAAAAGCGAUCCAGUUAUUAGAGGAGAUCGAAAGCUGGAGAGGGUAAACUGAAUCCCCACUUGAAAGAGUGUGGAGAUGUGGUGUAGAACGGCCGUCCCAAGGCCGUCAAUACAGGAGGAGAAGUCGACUGGAAUGUCGCACUAUAAAGGGUGAUAGUCCCGUACCCGGACUGGAUUACGGCUGGACGGAUUCCGUGAGUAGCGUGCAUCGGAUAUUGCGCGUGAACUAGCUGGCAUUAACAGCUAACCCUAAAUACAAACCGAGACCGAUAGCGCACUAGUACCGCGAGGGAAAGCUGAAAAGGAUCCUUAACAGGAGGUGAAAAGAACCUGAACUAGUAUGGUGAAAACUAGAUGCGGCUUCUUAGGAGGUUGCAUCGUUCGUCUAGAAACAUGGAGCAGGGAGUGAACGUAUGUGGUGAAGCGUAAGCUGAAGGGAAACCAAGACUCCGCAGCAUCCUCGUGAUGCGAGGGAGGAGGUGUUAGCCUCAAAUCACGUGCGCUCGACCUGAAGCCGGACGAUCUAACCCUGGGCAAGACGAAGUCCCACGACUGUGGGAUGGAGGUCUGCUACCGGUGCUAAGCUCAACUUGUUCGGGUGACCUGGGGAUAGAAGUGAAAUGCCAAUCGAGUUCGGCGAUAGCAGGUUCCACUCGACAUGGCCCUUAGGCCAGUCUGACUGGAGGCGGUUAUUGGGGUAAAGCACUGAUCGGGUGGCCCGGGGGAGAAAUCCCUCACCACCCUGUCAAACUCAGAACCCAAUAGCGCCGUAGAAGGUUGGAGACGGGGCUGGGGGGUAAGCUCCCAGUCCGAGAGGGAAUCAACCCUGAUUAUGGUUAAGGCCCCUAAAUAUUGGCUGAGUGUAACAAAAGACGUCCUUGGUCUGAGACAGCGAGAAGGUUAGCUUAGAAGCAGCUAUCCUCUAAGGAGUGCGUAACAGCUCACUCGUUGAGAUUGAGGGCUCUGAAAAUGGACGGGACUAAGCCAAUUGCCGAUACCAUAACACACUUUCUUAAGGAGAGUGAUUGAGUAGAGUGGCGUCCUGGCAGAGUAGAAGUGUCCUCGUAAGAGGGCGUGGAUUUGCCGGGAGUGAGAAUCCUGUUGGUAGUAGCAGCAAAUCAUGGUGAGAAUCCAUGACACCUGAAGGGCCAGGGUUCCUCAACAAUGCUUUUCAGUUGAGGGUUAGCCGAUCCUAAGAAGACCGUAAAUCGGGCAAUCGAAAGGGAAACAGGUUAAUAUUCCUGUGCCGCCUGGCUGUAUGGCAACAAAAUACCAUCCAUCCAACACAUUCGGGUAGCUUGAGCAUCCUUGUCUGGGUGUUUAAACUGGACGAUCCGGUGGAGUACUGUAACAGUGAGAAGCCGGAUAAACAGUGAAUAGUCCUCCGUCAGGAGGAUUCAGGCGAUCCCAAGUGUCCAUGAAAAGGAUGAUGGCUUACAAACAGGCGAUCGUACCGAGAACUGACACUGGUGCCCCUAGCUGAGAAGGCUCAGGUGUAGCGAGUAUGAACUCUGGUUAGGGAAUUCGGCAAAAUAGCUCCGUAGCUUCGGUUUAAGGAGUGCCAGUCUCGAAGGAGGCUGGUUGCAAUAACUAGGGGGGUCCGACUGUUUAAUAAAAACGUAGGUCCCUGCUAAGUCGAAAGGCCUUGUAUAGGGGCUGAUACCUGCUCAGUGCUGGUAUCUCAAAUCCCGGUUCAACGGGACGAAGGACCAGUAAACAGCGGGGGUAACCAUGACCCUCUUAAGGUAGCGUAAUACCUUACCGCUUAAUUGGCGGCUUGCAUGAAUGGUUUAACGAGAUUCCCCACUGUCCCGACCAGAGGCUCGGUGAACCCACUGUUCUGGUGUAUAAGCCAGAGACUUCCAGUGGGACGCGAAGACCCCGUGGAGCUUUACAGCAGCUUGUGGUUGAUUUGUGGUUACUAUUGCGCAGUGUAGAUGGGAGGCGCUUGAGAUUCUGGUUUCGGCCGGGAUUUAGCCAACGAUGAGACACCAUCCUUUAUUGACUACAGAUCUAACCCUCCGUCGCGAGAUGGAGGGGACACGUACAAGUGGGCUGUUCGGGUGGGGCGCCACACCGUUGAAAAGGUAUCAACGGUAUCUAAUGGUCGGCUCAGCCGGGACGGAAAUCCGGCGUAGAGGAUAAGACCAAAAGCCGGCCUGAUGGCGUUUCAAACAACACGAAACUCCAAGACGAAAGUCGAGUCUAGCGAACCCCGAAGUCCUCAUUAAUGGGGGCUCGGGCUGAUGGAAAAGCUACCCCGGGGAUAACUGAGUGGUAGCGGGCAAGAGUACACAUCGACCCCGCUGCUUGCUACUUCGCUGUCGGCUCAUUCCAUCCUGGGUGUGCAGAAGCACCCAAGGGUGGGGUUGUUCGCCCAUUAAAGGGAUACGUGAGCUGGGUUUAGAACGUCGCGAGACAGUUUGGCGGCAUCUACUGGAAGUGUCGUGUAUCUGAGUGGAAGGAUCCUUUAGUACGAGAGGAACAAGGGUUCGGGGCCUCUAGUCUACCAGUUGUCUGACAAGGCAUCGCUGGGUAGCCAAGCCCUGGAUGGUAAAGGCUGAAAGCAUCUAAGCCUGAAACAUUCCGCGAAAACGAGAUACAGUGUUGACUCCAGCAGAAGACUGGUUUGAUAGGCUGGGGAUGUAAGCAUCAAGCUUCGGCGAGAUGUUCAGUCCACCAGUACUAAUCG